rnacentral:rRNA from 1 species
UACGGGGGGAGCAAGCGUUGUUCGGAUUUACUGGGCGUAAAGGGCGCGUAGGCGGCCACCGCAAGUCGACUGUGAAAUCUCCGGGCUUAACCCGGAAAGGUCAGCCGAUACUGCGGGGCUAGAGUGCAGAAGGGGCAACUGGAAUUCUCGGUGUAGCGGUGAAAUGCGUAGAUAUCGAGAGGAACACCGGUGGCGAAGGCGGAGACCUGGGCCAAUACUGACGCUGAGGUGCGAAAGCGUGGGGAGCAAACAGG